rnacentral:lncRNA from 1 species
AGGUCAGGCGUCUGCCGGUGGUGAGGCUGUGGCUUCCAUAGUGGCCCUCGCCACUCCCAUGUUUAGGUGCUGCCAAGGAAAACGCUAUUAUAAACUGAAGAUGAAUAUCAUUUUUUGUCCAUUAACUUCACGCAUUCUAUGACUGCUCAGGUCAAUGGAUUCCCUCAAGAUUUGCUCACUAUUGAAAAACAUAUUUCUGUCCAGCCAAGAAGGAAAUGAAUUGAAAUGAUUUCAAUUAUCCCAAGAAAGGCGGGGAGCCUUCCGCCAGGCACUCCGACACCUCGAGACUCCACUCAUCAGCCUCUCCCCACAAAAUUCAGGGCCGCAGACGUCUCCCUAGCGCUAGCACGCCUCCUGGGCCAUAGUAGGGCUUCAGGAGACACAAAGCCACCCCGUGAGAGCAUUCUCCUCCUAGAGCCAUUCAGCUAAUUCAGAAAGAAGUGAGGACAUGGAAGGCAGGAAGGGUCGUUACAGGCACACAGCUCAGCAACACCUGGCCACUUACAGAAGAAGACGAGAAAUGGGAAACACGUCAUGAUCGCCACUCUUGUGUAUUGUGCCAGGCGCAAAGCUAAUCACAGUCCCUGGAGGGACUUAGAGAAAGUUCCUACAAACCCAGGGGGUCCCAGCCUCAUCCCCACUGUGAAGACAACAACACUAGGGGCUCUGUGACCUUCAGUAAGGCACCAACGACACACAGUCAUUAAGUGGCAGGAUGGAACUGGAGCCAAGUGAAUCUACAGCACUUCUUCCCCCAGAAAAAAAUAUCAGCUCGGGCUUUGCGGUUUGUAAUCUGUUCAAGGAGGAGAGUCCGGCAUGCAUUUGACAGAGCAGGGAAAUUAACACAGGUCCCUAAAUUGGACACCACCUUAUCUUGCAGUCCUGAGAAUCUCUCUUGGAAACCACAGAGCAUGAAAAAUUUCUAGGAAGGGCAUUUUGUUUUCCCCAUCAAAGGACCUGGAAAAUUCUAAUGGCAUUUUACUGGGAAUUAGAUAUUUGUUAUUUUCCAGAAGGCCACUACGGCAAUGAUCCAUACCAGAAUUCCGCAC